GCUGCGUCCGUAAAUUUUCCGCCAAUUCGCAUCGCAUCGCACUCACUAUGUCAUCGGCCUAAGAGCGCGAAAACCGAAGAAUUACCGCGUAUUAAUUAUUUACUAAUUAGUUUAACUUUAAGAAUUAACGAAAUAAUCGGAAGAGCGUAAUAAAAAACACGCGAUUACUUUUCUGUUACUUUUUAUUCUGAUUCUUAUUUGUCUUACUUCCACACUCAGAAAAAUCUAUACUCCAAAACCAGACUGCAUACAUAACAUUUCUUCCCCCCUUUGAGAGAGAGAAUUCUGGCUUUACGGGGAGUAACGGAGAGGAGGGCGUCGUUGUCUCUCGGACCGUUGCAAGAUUGGCGGUGAACCUUCGGAUGAACGUGCUGGACUGCUGGUUGGUGUCACGAACGAUGACUCUGGAGUUUGGCGACCAUUUGAAGAGGCCUCCGUCGUUGUACUACCAUCCGAACUAAAGGAGUGUUGCUGUGACGUAAUUGCAUCAUCGUAAAAAUGCAUUCGUUGAGAAGCUGAAGUUGAACCAGUUGUACUUUUCUUUGAUUCACUGGAGAGGGGGAUGGUUUCGUUGUCGUGGAAACGUCGAAGUUGGUCAAUGUGACGUUUCAAAUGUUUUCCUUCGUAAACAACAUCGUAGUGCAGAUCCCCCAAACGGGCAGCAAUAAUUCCUGGGAUCCAUUUGUCCAGCCGAGGAUUUUCUGAAAGGCAGUAGACGUGCUGACCUGGGCUGAAAGUGCGAAACGAUGCAUCGAAGGAGGCCUGUUGUUUUUCUGUGAUUUUCGUGCUGAUGUCUUGAGGUCGAACGAGAUCCAACCGCCUUCGAAUGUUUCUUCCCAGGAACAACUUUGCCGGAGACUCUCCAGUUUCGGCAUGAUAAACUACUGCAUAAGAAAUUUGUUUGUGUUGGCUUGCAAAGUUGAGUUCGUUGUUCCCAUCGCCUUGAGCGCCUUUUUUACGGUCUGGACGUAGCGCUCCACUUGGCCAUUUGUAGCCGGGUGAUAAGGUGCUGAAAAUUUGUGAUAUUUCACACCGCUUCGCUGAAGAAAAGCUUUGAAUUCAUCGGCAGUGAAUUGUGGACCAUUGUCCGACACGACUGUCACUGGUGCUCCAUAUGCAGCAAACAGGCCAUCCAGAAUAUUAAUCGUCGCUAAUGCUGUUGUGGAAUUGGUAACCUUGACUUCGACCCAUUUGCUGUAAGCAUCCACGAUAAUAAGCAACAUCAUACCGGCUACUGGCCCGGCAUAAUCUACAUGAAUGCGUUCCCAUGGACCUUUUGGGUACUCCCAGUGAUGGCUGUUGAACUUCGGUGGUGCCGGUGCAUGUCGUGCGCAUUCAGCGCAGGAUUUCGCUAUGUUUUCGAUGUCUGAAUCUAUGCCUGGCCAGUAAACAAACGAUCGCGCCAGUCCCUUCAUUUUGACGACCCCGAUGUGAGCAACGUGAAGGUCGUUCAGGAUUGCUUCGCGAAAAGUAGCUGGGAUGACUACACGGUGUUCAAAGAGGAGACAGUUGGCAACUACGGUGUAUUUUGAUUCCGGCGCCUUGUAACCUGACUGCGCCAAGUUUCGACCCAACUCGAGUAGUUGCAGAAGUUUUCCCAGAUGCGCAUCCUUUCUGGUUUCACGAGCAAUGUAUUCAGCGCGUACUGGUAAUUGCUGAAUUUGGUGCAGUGCGAAAUUGUCAAAACCAUCCACGUAAAUUCUUCCCUCCUCGAGAAACAAGCUGUGGACACCGGAAUUCGCCGAUUUGCUUGGAAUUCUGGAACAAUAGUCGGCAUUCGUGUUUUGACUUGUGUAACAAUUAGCUUAUUUUUAAACCAUAUGUUGCUGUUUUAUUCGUUGCGUGUACCUGUCAUCAUCGCCCAGCUCUGUUUACAGCUGAAAUUGAGUGUAAACAAAACAAGAAAAAGGAAAAAGCGAACAAGGAAAACUGCAACUCAGGAUUCUUCGCUUCGGACUCUGCUAAUCGCCAUCGCGUUUUUGUCGAUUUUCCCGCGAGUGUGCUGCUGUUUCCUGCGCCGGAAGAAAUCACCGCGGCAAUUCCACAGAACUGAGCCAAAACUCCUACAUCGGCAGCUGUCUUUUGGAAGUGCCGCAACGAUUUCUCGGAAAUUCCCCAUCGGACGCCAAAGCGCAUACAUCCGGCCGAAACCAGAAAACGCACCCAGGAAAACCCGGUGAACGCAUCUCGGAACGGAGAGAGCCGACAUCCACUCUGCCACGGUUUGUUGGUUGGAGCCACACCGUAUGUUUGUGUCGGAUGAAGUGCAAUCUGGUAAGCGGAAUUAAAGCAUUAUAUGAACGCAAAAGCGGUAACACUUGUUUCACCUUAGGUGGCCUGAUUGUGUCAAGCGGCAGCGUUAGCAGCGAUAGCCAAGUGCGCCCAGCAAACCCUUAAAGUAGGGUGAGUACUGCAGAGAGCAGCAAUGGAAGGGCAAUGAGUUAAUGUUUCGUUUAUCAUAGGUGUUCGGAAGGUGACCAAAGCAGCCUGAAGAGCGUAACCUCAAGGGCGCCCAGACCCCAAAUAGGGUGAGUAAGGCAGGGGAAUGAAAGACGGCAAAAAGGUUAAAGCAAGACGUUUAUUUUAGGGUCUUUUGUCGGGAGCUGAAGCUUCUCUCAUCCAACUGCUCGCGGCGGGAGCUGGAGCGGCGCUUUACUGCUGGUGGUCAUCCGAUGACGCAGGUGGUCGCUGAAAGGAAUUAGAUGAGUAUGAGAAAAAAGACAAGUAAGUGCUAGAUCUUGUAAGAAGAAGAAGCAGAAAGAAGAAGGACAGAAGCGAGAUUAAAAGGAAAAGAAGAAGAGACGUUCGAGCGAGAAGAACAAGAAGAGGUGUGAUUUAGCGGAAGAGGAAGAAGAGCGAGGUAGAGAAGAAGAAGAGGAGCGAGGCAGCGAAGAAGAGAAAGAAGAACGCGGCGGAGAAGAAGAAGAAGAGCGAGGCAGAGAAGAAGAAGAAAACGAUGAAAUUAUUGUAGAGCAAGGAAGAGGGAGCAGCAUGCGAUAGAGGAAUAGGCAUGCAAUAAAAUCAUGAGAAUUUAGUUUAUAAGCAACAUAUUUUAAUUUGGUUUUGUUUUGUGGCGUAAUUUUAUGAAUGUUAGUGAUUUGUGUUUCCUCCCCCAUUGCUAGCCGGGAGUGAAGCUAAAGAACUUCAACAUUGGCGCCCAACUAAAAAACCCUAUGUUACACAAAUUUUAAAUUUAAUCAGUCUUGUUUAGUUUUCGUCACUUUGGUAGU